rnacentral:misc_RNA from 1 species
CCUCAGACCGGCCUUUAACUGUUCUUCGUACACCAUGACCAUGUCAUCCUCUUCAAAAGAGUGAUCGACACGAAGAUCGCCAUGGCACUUGAUCAGCUCAUAUGAAUCAGGACAAAUAUUGUAUUCUUGAACAAACGAUUGCAGAUCGGAUUCCCGAAGAACCGAUGGAAGCUCGUCUAUAGGAAGGGUCUCUCUCCUUGAAGGUGGUGCAAGCCUUGAUGGUAUGACCCGCCCCCGACCUGGAGCAGAGACCCUAGGGGGUUUAGGUUGCACGCUGGGCCCGACUGCCUCUUCUUCGUCAGACGAUGACCAUGAGAACUGAAUGGAAGGAGGGCUCGCCGCUCUCUGACCUUCGGCACCGCUCAUUUUCAAGAAAAAGCAAAGAACUUAAACUAAAAAGAGGAUUAAAGCCCUUACCGGAGUCUGAUCGAUGUCGGAGGAACUUGAGAAAAUGAGAGGAUUUCGGGGUUGUUCGCGAGAGACUGAAA